rnacentral:rRNA from 1 species
UAGUCAUAUGCUUGUCUCAAAGACUAAGCCAUGCAUGUCUAAGUAUAAAUGUUAUACAGUGAAACUGCGAAUGGCUCAUUAAAACAGUUAUAGUUUAUUUGAUAAUCAAAUUUACAUGGAUAACCGUGGUAAUUCUAGAGCUAAUACAUGCUGUUUAGCCUGACUUUUAGGAAGGGCUGUAUUUAUUAGAUAACAAACCAAUAUUCCUUGUGUCUAUUGUUAUGAUUCAUAAUAACUGAUCGAAUCGCAUGGUCUUUGACCGCGAUACAUCAUUCAA